rnacentral:rRNA from 1 species
UGAUGAUCGACUCGGCUUUUGAGGGUCAGCGCAUUGCCGCGAUCCGGACUGAGGAGGGCGGUCUGACCCUCGUGCGCAACCACUUCAAGCACGUUCCAAGCGCCAUCGUUGUAAACCCUGACCGCGCGGAGGAACUCUGGCUUACCGACUCACGUUUCGAGGAUAUCUCCGGGCCGGCAAUCGUUAUCAGUGACGAAUUCAACGCGCGUCCUCAGAUCAAUCUGGACAAUGUGGU